rnacentral:rRNA from 1 species
GAUCCUGGCUCAGAUUGAACGCUGGCGGCAGGCCUAACACAUGCAAGUCGAGCGGAUGAAGUAGCUUGCUACUGAUUCAGCGGCGGACGGGUGAGUAAUGCCUAGGAAUCUGCCUGGUAGUGGGGGACAACGUUUCGAAAGGAACGCUAAUACCGCAUAUUCUGUGAGCAGGAAAGCGGGGAUCGCAAGACCUCGCGCUUCCGGAGCGGCCGAUGUCGGAUUAGCUAGUUGGCGGGGUAAAGGCCCACCAAGGCAACGAUCCGUAGCGGGUCUGAGAGGAUGAUCCGCCACACUGGGACUGAGACACGGCCCAGACUCCUACGGGAGGCAGCAGUGGGGAAUUUUGGACAAUGGGGGCAACCCUGAUCCAGCCAUGCCGCGUGAGUGAAGAAGGCCUUCGGGUUGUAAAGCUCUUUCGGCCGGGAAGAAAUCGCACAGGUUAAUACCUUGUGUGGAUGACGGUACCGGAAUAAGAAGCACCGGCUAACUACGUG